UUGGAAACUGCUAGCAGCUUCUCUUAGAUCAUCAUUUCCAUGAUGCAAAACCACCGGAACAGCACACAGCACAGAGCUCCUUUGUCCAUAUGUAGUGCUCAUGUGCCCAAGGUUUCAGAACCCCUUCCUGGGAGAUUUCUGGGGUCUCUCCAAGGUGUUUUCAAAUGAAAACAUUCAGCUCAGAGUCUAAGAAAAUCACUAGAGGGCAGGGCCACCCUGCCCUGUCUGUCCUGAUUACUUUUGUCUAGGGGCUAUCUUUGGAUAUACAGAAUUUGGGGGGCCAAAUUCUAAUUUUGGUCAUGAAAAUGGGUUCUUCUCCAAAGGAAUGAAGGAACAGUGCCCCAGUGCUUCCCAGGCAGAUGAGAGGUGACCACCAUAGGCCAAGGCCAGCCAGAGCUGGCAGGUUUUGUUCUGAGAGAUGCCCUUGCAUAGAGGAAAUAUUUUAGGGAGAGUACCUAUUUUGACAAUGGGUACCUGAUAAGAGGGAUGGUUCUUUUCCAUAGCAAGGAAAGCAUGGAGCUCCAGCACACCAGGAGCUGAUGAGAGGCAGCCCUUGACAUUCCAACAUCAGCCAGACCUGUCAGGUGGCCCUGGGAGGCCAAGCCAACCAGACCUGUUCCAUGUUCCCUCGCUUCCAUGGGGCCCCACGGUGUCCCAAAGGUCCCUUGGUUCCAUGAGGCCCUGAGGUGUCAUAAUGUCCCCUUGGUGACAUGAGGCCCUGAAAGGCCCUAAUGGUUUCCAUGGCUCCAUCAGGCCCCACAGAGUCAUAAUGGUCUCUGGGCUCCAUGAAGCCCUGCUGUGGCACCAUGGCCCCUUGGUUCCAUGGGCUCCAGUGGUGCCACAAGGAUCCCCUUGGUUCCAUGAGGUCCCCACAGUGUCCCAGGGAUCUCCAUGGGAAGGAAAGAGCCAAGCCCCAGUGUCGCAGGGGCAGUCACCAGAGGUCAAGGCCAGCCAGACUUGAUGGUACUGGCAGAUUUUGCCUGGGAGUAGCACUUGGAUAUAGAGAAUGUUAGAGGUGGAAUCCCAGUUUCAGACAUGGGCACCCAGACGAUAAGGACUGUUCUUUUCCAUAGGAAGGAAAGCACAGAACACUGGUGUUUGAGGGGCAGAUGAAAGGUGGUCAUCAGAGGCCUAGGCCAGCCAGACCUCUCUGUACUGGUAGCUUUUGUCUGACAGCAACCCUUGGAUAUAUGGAAUUUGGGAGGAGGAAUCCCAGUUUUGGCCAUUUUUGCACAAAUAAGAAGGAUGGUUCUUUUCCAUUGGAAGAAAAGCACCAAGCCCAAGGGUUUCAAAAGCAGGUGAGAGGCAGGUCCAAGAGGCCAAGGGCAGCCAUACCUAUCUGUCCUGGCAGCUUUCACUGGGAGCAAUCCUUAGAUUUACGGAGUUUUAGAGGUGGAAUCCCAGUUUUGGCCAUGUGCACCUGGUCAAAGUGGAUGCUUUUUUCCUGUUGGAAAGAAAAGAGCCAAGUCCAAGUGUUCUGGAUGAAGACAAGAGGUGGCGACCCUUAGGCCAAGCCAGCCAGACCUCUCUCUCCUGGCACUGUUUGUCUAGGGGCUAUCUUUGGACAUACGGAAUUUUGGACAUGGAAUCACCAUUUUGGACAUGGGCUUCUGGACCGGAAGAAAAGUUCUUUUCAUUAGGAAGGAAAGCACAAAGCCCCCGUGUUUCAGAGGCAGUUCAGAGAAGAGCUGAUAGAAGCAUUCCCCAGCAGAUCUUGAUGCUGAAUGUCUCCUUAGGAGGUCUGGGGGGAGGAGCCAAGCAUUCCAAGCUGGAUAUAAGCGGAGGCUUCUGACACCAGGAGCACCUUGGCUACUGGAUUCCCAGAGGACCAGAGCUCCAUCACCACCACUGGACCUUCAGAGGAAGACCAGACACUUCUCCAGGAUCACUGCCUUGACAGAAUCACGAUCAUCACUGCAACAGGACUGCAGCCACCAUUUAAUGGGACUGCUAUCAGCACCCUGACCAACAGGGUGCCAGGUUAUAUCCUGACUGUGUCAGUUUAAGGCAGUGUUUCUGUAUCAUUGUCUUGAUCUUAAUUUUCUUGUUAAAUUGUAAUUCUGGCUUAAAAUCUCCCCCUAGUUUGCCCUCAAACCUGUACGAAACUCAAUGCACUCAUCUCUUG